rnacentral:lncRNA from 1 species
AUUAAUUUUUAUCAAUCUUGAUAUGAACUCCUAAUUGUAUUUUCCUAAAUAAAGCAAAUAAACAAUCCUUAAUUUGCUAUAACUUCCUAUAACUCAUCUUAUGUAUUUAUUUGAAAAAAUUAUAAAAAUAUAACUUAUUAGCAUUUUAUAUUUUUCCUUCUAUUAUCUAUCCGCUACUGUGACAUCCCAAUAGUCUCACAUCGGAUAGUUAUGGUUAAAUGUGAGAGUAUAUAAGUUUGAUUGGGCUAGACAUAAUAACUGGGCUUAAGUAUUUUGGGUUGGUUGUUUUUGGCCCAACGAGUUAUUAUUGCUAGCGGGUCGAGUUGUUACAUUUUGUAUCAGAGCCAAUUCACCAGCCGGAAGUGUGAGAUGAGUCUUGGCUGAGUCAGGGUCGGAAUGACAAAUUAAGGCAGGGUCGGUGAUUGACAGGCUAAAUCAGGGUCGGAAUGAUAAAGGCUAGCGAGACAAGUCUCACAUCACCUGGUUAUCUUGGGCUGUGUGUGUAUAUUGCUAAUGAGGACAUCAGGCACAUCGGAUAGUUAUGGCUAGAUGUGGGAGUAUAUAAGCUUAAUUGGGCUAGACAUAAUAAUUGACUUAAACAUUUUGGGCCGGUGGUUUUGGCCUAACUAGUUAUUAUUAGUAGUAGGCCGGGUCGUUACAUUUGGACCAAAUUAAUAAAAGCCUUGUGCAAAACAUAACCAGUUUUUUAUAAAUUAGAGUGCGAUUUUUUUUUUUUUGAAAACAACCUGACCCACGUGACGUACAAACUCGCUACAAAUACAAAUCCCUCUGCCUACAUGGGCAGAAUAUUUUUUGUAUUAUUUUCU